UUCUGAAGUUGACCUGUUGAUAUUUAAAUAUUGAAAGCAAAGACAAAUAAUAUACUAUUUGACUGAGACCCAUUUUGGGUCCCUAAGACUUUUAACAAUCAAGGAAAGACCUUAAGGUUUUAAAAACCAAAAUGGCCCCUACAUUCGUUAACUUUUAAGUGUGCGGCCCUUUGUGGUAAAGUUUUGGACAUCCCUUGUUUCGUUUUAAUGAAUAGCUGAGCAGAAAGGAAUCCUGUAUAGAUUAUACAUUAAUAGUACUUUAAAACAUUUUUUUUAAUUAAAGUGAGUCAUUGUGUUUCAGUAUUUUUGCCCUGCCACUUGUAGGAACCCUCAUUCUGCAUGUUUUUGUACAAACUAUUGUUGGACAAUCUCUCAACGCUGCAUUCAAACAUUUUCAUAGUUGAACCUUACAUGUAGAAACACAAUUGUUUCUUGGUGCUGUGCUUACUAAACGGAGGAAAACAAAUCUAAAGGACAAGAACUUGCAAUUUUUAAAAUCAGUAUCUCAUGAUUGUUUGGGUGUGACAGGGUAUGUCUGGAGAAUCUGGCACUAAAGGACAGGUGAGUUGUGUAUGAUCAUGUGUUAAGUAAAUAUACACUUCAUGCACUUGUAUGUGUUUGCAGCACAGAGUGAGGAGACCUUGGACAUAAUGGUCCAACAUGGAGACUCUGGGAAGCCAGGUGAUGUAGGACCCCCUGGACUGCCUGGUCCUCGGGGGUUGAACGGCAUGAGCGGUGUGCAUGGCAGGCCGGGUAUUGAGGGUCCACCGGGACAAGAUAUAUCUGACCAGCAUAUUAUUGAUGUGGUAUAAAGAAUGUUGCAAGAGAGGGUGGCAGCAGUAGCAGUGAGCACUAAAAGGGCUGUGCCGUUGAACAACCGGCUAUUCUGGUCCUCCGUGAUUAAUGGUUCCACAAAGACCACAUGGUUUGCCUGGUUCCCGAAGAAUUACUGGAACGAUGGGAGCUGUCAGACGGAUUGGAAACACAGGUCUUAAAGCAGGAUGUGCUCCAUUCGACUGCUGGAGAGUUCUGUGCCGUUUUGAGCAGGAGGAGAAUAUAUAGGGAGGUCUGCAGUGGGCGGGGCUCCAGCUCAACACUGCAGCGUCGAUGUUUGACUUCUCCAAACUAAUCCUACAGUUGUGAUGUGUCUACUCGACAUACAAUGUGCAUCACAACGUGGACAAACACACAGGUAAGUAUUAUGGUGUUUUUUGAAAGCAUUAAAAUGUUUGCUUUGAUGUUUCUCCGACUCCUGUUUAUUGUUGUGUCUAAAACAAGUUUCGGUACUCAACUUGUGGCCCCCCAACAACACACACACCACAACAAAGUCCCCAGAAGGCCCACGAAUGAUGGGACGCCACCCAGACGGACUGGAGGCACAGGCUUGGUUAGGAUUCGGGUUAGGGUUAGGAUUGGGGGAAGGGGAAUGCACAGUCCGUCUGCAGCCCGCCCGGGCGACGCCCACACCAACCCCGGAACCCCCCGAAGACCCUGAAAGAUGCGCAUGCUGCGUCAGACACAUACAGCCAAAUUAGUGACGGGCAUGACUGGCCCUGCCAUCCAGCGACGCGUUUCGGUCUCUUGACCUCUUCAGGCUGGCUUUGCACUGAUUGCAGGAUGUAAUCAUCUUUUUCACUGCGAGUCUGUGCCUACUGGGACACUUCUAAUUCCCUAGUAGGUGGGGCACUUCUAAUCCCCUAGACUUACGGCUACUCUACUUUUCUCUACAGCAGGAUGUGCUCCAUUCGACUGCUGGAGAGUUCUGUGCCGUUUUGAGCAGGAGGAGAAUAUAUAGGGAGGUCUGCAGUGGGCGGGGCUCCAGCUCAACACUGCAGCGUCGAUGUUUGACUUCUCCAAACUAAUCCUACAGUUGUGAUGUGUCUACUCGACAUACAAUGUGCAUCACAACGUGGACAAACACACAGGUAAGUAUUAUGGUGUUUUUUGAAAGCAUUAAAAUGUUUGCUUUGAUGUUUCUCCGACUCCUGUUUAUUGUUGUGUCUAAAACAAGUUUCGGUACUCAACUUGUGGCCCCCCAACAACACACACACCACAACAAAGUCCCCAGAAGGCCCACGAAUGAUGGGACGCCACCCAGACGGACUGGAGGCACAGGCUUGGUUAGGAUUCGGGUUAGGGUUAGGAUUGGGGGAAGGGGAAUGCACAGUCCGUCUGCAGCCCGCCCGGGCGACGCCCACACCAACCCCGGAACCCCCCGAAGACCCUGAAAGGUGCGCAUGCUGCGUCAGACACAUACAGCCAAAUUAGUGACGGGCAUGACUGGCCCUGCCAUCCAGCGACGCGUUUCGGUCUCUUGACCUCUUCAGGCUGGCUUUGCACUGAUUGCAGGAUGUAAUCAUCUUUUUCACUGCGAGUCUGUGCCUACUGGGACACUUCUAAUUCCCUAGUAGGUGGGGCACUUCUAAUCCCCUAGACUUACGGCUACUCUACUUUUCUCUACAGCAGGAUGUGCUCCAUUCGACUGCUGGAGAGUUCUGUGCCGUUUUGAGCAGGAGGAGAAUAUAUAGGGAGGUCUGCAGUGGGCGGGGCUCCAGCUCAACACUGCAGCGUCGAUGUUUGACUUCUCCAAACUAAUCCUACAGUUGUGAUGUGUCUACUCGACAUACAAUGUGCAUCACAACGUGGACAAACACACAGGUAAGUAUUAUGGUGUUUUUUGAAAGCAUUAAAAUGUUUGCUUUGAUGUUUCUCCGACUCCUGUUUAUUGUUGUGUCUAAAACAAGU